rnacentral:lncRNA from 1 species
CAUCGACAAAAAAUGCGAUAAUUUCUUGUAACAUCCGAACAGUCCUCUGCCGUUGUUACUCGCACCUGAACUUUGUGCUGCCUCGGCUAAACCUGAACAUUUUGCAUAUCAAAAUUGAAAGACUCACCACCGAUAAUGGAUACGUGGUCUUUUCCGCGUGACGAUCUGUCGGAACUAAUUUUAAUUUCUGAAACCAAAUGAUGACCAUUAGGCUGAGCAUUUAAUUAUACGUUGUAAUUAAAUCGUUUUUAAUAGAAUGCAACAACAUUGUUGUGAACACUUAAGGACUUAAUAAGAGCGGAGGCUUCUGCAAAAUCGAUUUGGUUUGUGCACGAACCAGCAAUAUAACGAGAGUCUAAUGAACCCCUACAAAUAAUUCAGGUCGUCCCGAUCUCGGCACCGAUCGGCGACAAACGCACCGUUCCGACCUCCACGAUCACGCGACGAUCGUGCGUCCGGGGACGAGUGUUCCCGUGGGGCCUCACUGUUCUAUCGUCGAAACGUUUGCUCCAUUCUCGUCACGAAGUUUGCCCUGGAAUAUUCCCGCGAGCCGACUUAAAAUGAACGAACUGUAUAUAUAAAUGAAGUACCUGAAGAGGAUCGGAAUAAUAAUCUACGUGUACCUACCGAAAACACGAGAUAACGAGUUUCGUUGGGACAAUUCCACGCAUCUAAGAAGAUCACGACAUACUACUCUACGAACACGAAGAAGGAGACGUGGGAGAUAGGUCGGUGCAGUCUGAGCUGACGUUAUGAGAAUACGAGAGGUGGAAUUUGGAAUGAUAGAAGUGAUUGUUCCGAAAUUACGAGCUACGAUCUUUUUCGUCGUUAACAAUGCCGAACGAUUUUCGAUUUGUAGUAUGAACACGAAAAGAGACGUGGAUGCGCCGAUCAAACAAAUCCCAGAGAGCUAUCCAACGUUGAAAAAAUAAUGGAAAAUUAAAUGAAAUGAAAAAUGAAGAAGUUUUCUUUUAAAAUGGAUACUUGAAGAUUUUCAUACGAAUUCAUUGGGUGGAAUUUAAGAAAAGCGGAAGACUAGAGUAACCAGAGGUAAUGGAAUAGAAUCCUGGCCUCGUUCUGCUCCGACUAUCACUUGCUUACACUCAUUUUGCAAAUGUACACAUAAACUUGAGCAACGAAAUACUGCUUUCCGAGUCAGUGAAAUAAAAAUAAAAGAUUUGCUAGCCAAUUACUGCUGUUAUCACUUUAAUGCUUACCGUUUCAGGGAGCACGUAAAAGGAAAUUAAAAAUUGAAACGAAAAUUUAAUAUGAAUAAUGUGGAAUAAAUUUUAU